rnacentral:misc_RNA from 1 species
UACGGAGGGUGCAAGCGUUAUCCGGAUUCACUGGGUUUAAAGGGUGCGUAGGAGGGCAGGGAAGUCAGUGGUGAAAUCUCCGGGCUUAACUCGGAAACUGCCGUUGAUACUCUCUGUCUUGAAUACCGUGGAGAUGAGCGGAAUAUGUCAUGUAGCGGUGAAAUGCUUAGAUAUGACAUAGAACACCAAUUGCGAAGGCAGCUCGUUACACGAAUAUUGACUCUGAGGCACGAAAGCGUGGGGAUCAAACAGG